rnacentral:rRNA from 1 species
GACAGAGGGUGCAAACGUUGUUCGGAAUCACUGGGCGUAAAGGGCGCGUAGGCGGCUCGGUAAGCGUGUGGUGAAAGCCUGGGGCUCAACCCCGGGUCGGCCAUGCGAACUGUCGAGCUGGAGCACUGUAGAGGCAGGCGGAAUUCCGGGUGUAGCGGUGGAAUGCGUAGAGAUCCGGAAGAACACCGGUGGCGAAGGCGGCCUGCUGGGCAGUAGCUGACGCUGAGGCGCGACAGCGUGGGGAGCAAACAGG